rnacentral:rRNA from 1 species
GAAACGACUGCUAAGACUGGAUAGGAGAUAAGAAGGCAUCUUUUUAUUUUUAAAAGACCUAGCAAUAGGUAUGCUUAGGGAAGAGCUUGCGUCACAUUAGUUAGUUGGUGGGGUAAUGGCCUACCAAGACGAUGAUGUGUAGCCGGGCUGAGAGGUCGAACGGCCACAUUGGGACUGAGACACGGCCCAAACUCCUACGGGAGGCAGCAGUAAGGAAUUUUCGGCAAUGGAGGAAACUCUGACCGAGCAAUGCCGCGUGAACGAUGAAGUAUUUCGGUACGUAAAGUUCUUUUAUUAGGGAAGAAAAGAUGGUGGAAAAACCAUUAUGACGGUACCUAAUGAAUAAGCCCCGGCUAACUAUGUGCCAGCAGCCGCGGUAAUACAUAGGGGGCAAGCGUUAUCCGGAAUUAUUGGGCGUAAAGGGUGCGUAGGCGGUUAAAUAAGUUUAUGGUCUAAGUGCAACGCUCAACGUUGUGAUGCUAUAAAAACUGUUUAGCUAGAGUUGGAUAGAGGCAAGUGGAAUUCCGUGUGUAGUGGUAAAAUGCGUAAAUAUACGGAGGAACACCAGAAGCGAAGGCGGCUUGCUGGGUCUUAACUGACGCUGAGGCCACGAAAGCGUGGGGAGCAAACAGGAUUAGAUACCCUGGUAGUCCACGCCCUAAACGAUGAGUACUAAACGUUGGAUAAAACCAGUGUUGAAGUUAACACAUUAAGUACUCCGCCUGAGUAGUACGUACGCAAGUAUGAAACUUAAAGGAAUUGACGGGACUCCGCACAAGCGGUGGAUCAUGUUGUUUAAUUCGAAGGUACCCGAAAAACCUCACCAGGUCUUGACAUGCUUUUGCAAAGCUGUAGAAAUACAGUGGAGGUUAUCAGAAGCACAGGUGGUGCAUGGUUGUCGUCAGCUCGUGUCGUGAGAUGUUGGGUUAAGUCCCGCAACGAGCGCAACCCUUGUUGUUAAUUGCCAUCAUUAAGUUGGGGACUUUAGCAAGACUGCCAAUGAUAAAUUGGAGGAAGGUGGGGACGACGUCAAAUCAUCAUGCCCCUUAUGACCUGGGCUACAAACGUGAUACAAUGGCUGUUACAAAGGGUAGCUAAAGCGUAAGCUUCUGGCGAAUCUCAAAAAAGCAGUCUCAGUUCGGAUUGAAGUCUGCAACUCGACUUCAUGAAGUUGGAAUCGCUAGUAAUCGCGAAUCAGCAUGUCGCGGUGAAUACGUUCUCGGGGUUUGUACACACCGCCCGUCA